UCAACUUAAGAGUUUGAUCCUGGCUCAGAACGAACGCUGGCGGCAGGCCUAACACAUGCAAGUCGAACGAUAAGCCACCUUCGGGUGGUGGACAGUGGCAGACGGGUGAGUAACGCGUGGGAACGUGCCUUUCGGUUCGGGAUAACCCAGGGAAACUUGGGCUAAUACCGGAUACGCCCUUCGGGGGAAAGAUUCAUUGCCGAAAGAUCGGCCCGCGUCGGAUUAGCUAGUUGGUGGGGUAAUGGCCUACCA
rnacentral:rRNA from 1 species